rnacentral:rRNA from 1 species
UCCUGGAGAUAUCAGAAGUGCGAAUGCUGACAUGAGUAACGAUAAAGCGGGUGAGAGACCCGCUCGCCGAAAGUCCAAGGGUUCCUGCGCAACGCUAAUCGGCGCAGGGUUAGCCGGCCCCUAAGGCGAGGCCGAAAGGCGUAGUCGAUGGGAAUGCAGUUAAUAUUCUGCAGCCUGGUGGUAGUGACGGAUCUCGUAAAUUGUACAUCCUUAUUGGAUUGGUUGUGCAGUGAAGAGGUUCCAGGAAAUAGCUCCACCGUAUAGACCGUACCCCAAACCGACACAGGUGGUCAGGUAGAGAAUACUAAGGCGCUUGAGAGAACUAUGUUGAAGGAACUCGGCAAAUUGCACGCGUAACUUCGGAAGAAGCGUGACCUGUAUUUACGCAAGUAGAUAUAGGUGGCACAGACCAGGGGGUAGCGACUGUUUAUCAAAAACACAGGGCUCUGCGAAGUCGCAAGACGACGUAUAGGGUCUGACGCCUGCCCGGUGCUGGAAGGUUAAGAGGAGGAGUGCAAGCUCUGAAUUGAAGCCCCAGUAAACGGCGGCCGUAACUAUAACGGUCCUAAGGUAGCGAAAUUCCUUGUCGGGUAAGUUCCGACCUGCACGAAUGGCGUAACGACUUCCCCGCUGUCUCCAACAUAGACUCAGUGAAAUUGAAUUCCCCGUGAAGAUGCGGGGUUCCUGCGGUCAGACGGAAAGACCCCGUGCACCUUUACUAUAGCUUCACACUGGCAUUCGCCAAGGCAUGUGUAGGAUAGGUGGUAGGCUUUGAAACUCUCACGCCAGUGGGGGUGGAGCCAUCCUUGAAAUACCACCCUUAUCUUCGUGGAUGUCUAACUGCGGUCCGUUAUCCGGAUCCAGGACAGUGUGUGGUGGGUAGUUUGACUGGGGCGGUCGCCUCCUAAAGAGUAACGGAGGCGCGCGAAGGUAGGCUCAGACCGGUCGGAAAUCGGUCGUUGAGUGCAAUGGCAUAAGCCUGCCUGACUGCGAGACUGACAAGUCGAGCAGAGACGAAAGUCGGUCAUAGUGAUCCGGUGGUCCCGCGUGGAAGGGCCAUCGCUCAACGGAUAAAAGGUACGCCGGGGAUAACAGGCUGAU